UACGUAGGGUGCAAGCGUUGUCCGGAAUUAUUGGGCGUAAAGAGCUCGUAGGCGGUUUGUCGCGUCUGCUGUGAAAACUCAGGGCUUAACCCUGAGCUUGCAGUGGGUACGAGCAGACUAGAGUGCGGUAGGGGAGACUGGAAUUCCUGGUGUAGCGGUGAAAUGCGCAGAUAUCAGGAGGAACACCGGUGGCGAAGGCGGGUCUCUGGGCAGUAACUGACGCUGAGGAGCGAAAGCAUGGGGAGCGAACAGG
rnacentral:rRNA from 1 species